rnacentral:rRNA from 1 species
UGGGGCUACACACGUCAUACAAUGGCUGGUACAAAGGGUUGCCAACCCGCGAGGGGGAGCCAAUCCCAUAAAGCCAGUCGUAGUCCGGAUCGCAGUCUGCAACUCGACUGCGUGAAGUCGGAAUCGCUAGUAAUCGUGGAUCAGCAUGUCACGGUGAAUACGUUCCCGGGUCUU